rnacentral:rRNA from 1 species
CAUAGCUGUGACUUUAUGAGUAUUAAGUAUUAAAAAAAAAUUUUAGUAUUUAAGCAUACGCGUAAAUACUCCGCCUGGGAACUACGACCGCAAGGUUGAAACUCAAAGGAAUUGACAGAGGUUUUUCUCGAGCAGUGGAACAUGUAGUUUAAUGCGAUAUAAAACGUCAAAUCUUACCAGUAAUUGCAUUAUAGAUUUUUUUAAAAGAAAUUUUAAAAAAAAUUAAAUAGAAUUUAAUAAUUUAUAACAGGUAC